CCUACGGGAGGCAGCAGUGAGGAAUAUUGGUCAAUGGGCGUAAGCCUGAACCAGCCAAGUCGCGUGAGGGAUGAAGGUUCUAUGGAUCGUAAACCUCUUUUAUAAGGGAAUAAAGUGUGGGACGUGUCCUGUUUUGUAUGUACCUUAUGAAUAAGGAUCGGCUAACUCCGUGCCAGCAGCCGCGGUAAUACGGAGGAUCCGAGCGUUAUCCGGAUUUAUUGGGUUUAAAGGGUGCGUAGGCGGCCUUUUAAGUCAGCGGUGAAAGUCUGUGGCUCAACCAUAGAAUUGCCGUUGAAACUGGGAGGCUUGAGUAUGUUUGAGGCAGGCGGAAUGGGUGGUGUAGCGGUGAAAUGCUUAGAUAUCACGCAAAACCCCGAUUGCGAAGGCAGCCUGCCAAGCCAUGACUGACGCUGAUGCACGAAAGCGUGGGGAUCAAACAGGAUUAGAUACCCCAGUAGUC
rnacentral:rRNA from 1 species